rfam:Escherichia coli ISC11, WGS project CBWP01000000 data, contig: c2
AAGAUAAAACGUUCAACAGGGGUAAUUCCCCAUCUGAUAACUCACUAUUUUCGUCUAAAUCAGUGUCUUUUGUCUGCCAAAAACCUAGGGUCUGCUCUUAUUAAAGCCUUAGGUUAAUGUUUUUGCUAUUUUUUUACCGCAUGAAUAAAGAGUUACAC